UGCCAAAAAACAGUCGGCCAUUCCCCUUUCCCUCUCACCGAUCUCUCAAUUCUCCCCCUUCCCUUUCUCUCUCCACCACGGUGAGCCAACCCUGGCGAGCCAACCUCUGACGCCCAGAGACAUCGAUAACCUCCACCACCUUCAUCAGUGAAUCCACCCAACCCGACACUCCUUCUAUCUCCUUUCCCCCUCUCUUUUUACCCCAAGCCGCGGCUGCUCCACUAUUUUUCGGUCGGCGAGCCAUCAAUCUUCUAUCGUUUCUACGAACUUUGGCCAACCAUGGCCGAUGAUAACCAACACCACCAGCCACUACUCCAGUCAGCCGCCACGUAACUUCUCCGACCACAUUCCAGCGAGAGAACCACUGAGCCACCACCAUCUUCCUUCCAUCUCUUUCCCCUCUCCAUGCUUUCUCCUUCCUUCUACCAAACAACUACUGACAACCACAACAGCCGCCCAUUUCUUCCUCUUCUCUGGAAAAGUUCAGAGCCGCCGCCACCGACUUUUACUAUUUCUCGCCCUCUCUCCUCCUCUCUUUGUUCAAAAUUUAAAAAUCCAAGAUUAGCUCUUCUACGACGAACUUUGGAGAAAUCCGACAAGAUGAGCAACACAAAUGGAUGUGCUAAUCAUUUCUCACGACUAAAUUUUGGGAUGAUCACAAUAGCUUUGGAUUCACUCAAUUUAUUUUUUGAUUUUCAUUGAAUCUUAAAGAAUUAUCCAUCUCGGGUAUGAUUUUCUCUAUGCUUGAUUACUAUCAUCUCCAAUUUCUUGCUUUGGGCAGAUUCUUGGUUGUUAGAUUUGUGCAUUUUGUUUAAGUUGUCGUGAUUCUUAUUUGUUUACCUCUUUCAACCAUAAUAUGUGAAAAUCCCAAAUUCUCAUGAAAGUAAUCUUAGCGAGAGUUUGUUUCCUGCUUAGAUUAACUUGAUUAUUACUUGUCCGAGGCCUUUGAUUAUUUGCUUUUUCCCAUAAAGUAUGCUUGUAACAACAUUGGUGGUUUUAUUUUGGUCAUUCAAAGCAAUAUAUGUUCAAUACGUGCGUUAUUCUAUCUUUAGUAAAUUUUGAUUGCUAUAAUAAUUUUGGUAAGCUUAGAUUGAUUUUGGGCUUGGUUGAUUCAUUCACUAUAAUUGAGGGUACUUCUUAUCAGCUCAGUGGUUUUGAUUAUUGACUUUCAUUUAACGAUGCGGACAACCUAGUAUGUGAUUGCUUGUGAUAAGUUCUCAGUGAUUUUCUUUCUUUUCCUUUAGCAAAUGUGACUACUUCGUAUGGUAACUUGAGAUUUUACUUACCUUUGAUUGAUACAAUUUGUUCUGUUUAAAGAAAUUAUAGUGCGACUGGUGAUUCUUUCCUAUUUGAUGCCUUAAUUGAUUAAUUCCUUUAGCUAUAUAAACAACACCUUUCUUCAUUAUUUUGGACAGAGUUUUGACCCUUACUAUUACUGACUUUUUACACUGAACAAUAUUUACUCUGCUCUAGACACAUAAAAUAUCUCUUUUGCUUUUGGUCUUGAGACUUCGACUACUACUAUUACGAUAGAUUUUUACUUUGAAAAGCACGGUUUUCUUAUUUAUGUUUUAUUACUUUCACUUCUAAUCGGUUAGUUUUUUCUAACGAUGCAUUAGUUUCUUUUUCUAUUAAUUCUAUGUGAUUAUGAUUUUGUUUUUGUUUGCGUAUUUUAAAUGCUUGAUGUCAUAAGCCUUCUACUCGUUUUUGUGCAUUUCCAAUAUCAAUUGGGUGUUUAUGCUAUUUUCUUUUGUCAACGUGACAUGUUUUGUACCUCUAUUUGCAAUUAAAUAUUUUUCCCACUGGAGUGUUUGUUGUAUGUAAAUUCAAAACGACCUUUCUGCAUCUCAUAACCUUUUUGGCGUGAUUCUUAGGAUCUCAACAGAGCCAAGGGUUGGUUGUGUGUUGUCAAAGAUAUGUUGUGGAUUCGGGAAGUAUUAUAGUGUCUUUGCUUCUGUUCGCAGGUUAAAAGGCAACCAUUCAGAGGAGAGUUCGUUUGGAAUUUUGUGAUUUUGGAGAUUUUCUAAUCUUUUCUUUAUUAUGCCUUGUUUAUAUUUUAUUUAUUUAUUUAUUAUAUUGGUCUGUAAUAUAUGUAUAAACACUGAUAUAUAUAAUGGAAAACGGGGAUUGCUCAUGGGGGGACGAGAUUAUAUGACCUGAAUAUUUGAUAACAAUUGCUUUAUCACUUAGGCAAUAAUUCUAGGAUCAUCAAUUAAAUUCUAUCUCCUAGAAGUCAUGUUUUAGGAUUUCUAAUUAACACACAACAUAUAAAAAUUAAUUUUAAGCAUGUCAAUUUAAUUUAUAGCAUGUUUAGUUAAUUUUCACAUAUUUUUAUCCAUUUUUGCAUAUUUAGUAAUUUUUUCUGCACAUUCAAAGUUUUUAUUCUGUCAUUAUUAAUUUUUUGCACUUUAAGAUAAACUACAUUUUAAACAUUUUUUGUGCAUUGUUUAAUUAAAUUUCUGAGCAGUUCAAUUAUUUUUAUGCACAGUUAAUUUUUUUUUUUGCAAUGUUUAAUUAUUUUUCUGCGAUGUUUAAUGAAAUUUCUGCACAGUUUAUUUUUUUGCACUGUUUGAUAAAAUUUCUGCACAGUUUAAUUACUUUUCUUCACUGAUUAAUUAUCUUUCUGCACUUUUUAUGUAAUUUUCUGCACUCUAAAUAACUUUCUAUACUUUGAAUAAUCUCUGCCCACUUUAAGUAAUUUUUGCAUGCUUUAAAUAAUUUUCUGAACAUUUAAUUUUAUUUUUAAUGCUUUAAUUCUCAACGUUAAAUGGAAUUUCUCGCAUUAAAGAAUGCUAAUCAUGUACCUUCUCACUUAAAAAGCAUGCCUAUCGGUUUUAAAUUAUAUAAAACAAGUAAUUGUUUGGUUACUAUGUUUGUCACUAAUCAAUUUUUUAAUUAAUCAAGAGGCUUGUAUGAGACCAUUAGAGUGCUUAUUUUUUGUUUCAUGCGAACCUCGAGCCUAAUCUUUCCUUUUCUCUAGACACAAAUCCAAAAUAGCAAGUCUAAUGCCUCUUGGACGUUAAAUUGGGACGAGUAGGUAUUUAGAGUAGCUUUAUCAUCUUUAUUAGAUCACCUCUAAGUUUUAUAACUAAACUAGGUGGGUUGGGUAGACAGUCGAAAAUAAUAUUAGUUGUUCCAAUCGGAAUCUGACUAUGUGACCCAUUAAUUUAGUCGGGUGCUAAUUCAACUAAUCCAAAUAGGAUAAAAUUAACUCUAGUUCGAACCUUUUAAAUUUGUUUUCUGUUUGCUUUACUUCAUCUGUUUUGAUCAUUUGGGGUAGUUAGGUUUAUUAUUUAAAUAACCUUUUUCGCUAUAUAAAUUGUGUCAUUUGUGUCUUCUUGCUCAUCUGAUUUACAUUGUUUCUUUUAUUUCUUAUUAUCACCUAGAUAAUUAAAAAUUAGAAAUAAUUAAGUUACAUGUCAUGCUUAUUAUUAUUUUCAUCACUUAGUUAAUAUUAAGUUGAUAAAAAUAAGCGACUUUUAUUGAUCACAUAGAAUUCCCUACAUAAUAUAUGAGUUAUUAUUAAGUUGAUAAAAAUAAGCGGUUUUUGUUGAUCAUAUAAAAUUUGUCACGUAAUAUACAAAUUCUGCCUGGCCCUACAUUUGUGGAUCUCGAAAUGUGUCUUACACCUUCCUUUCGAGGUGACUUGAACCCUUAUCUAAUUUCUGAUGAAUUAGAUUAAAAAUUAAAAUAAGUUCAAAAUAGAAUGGUGCACUAAUGCACCUUAAUUCGUUAGGUGACGACUAUUCUCUCUUUAUCAAUCCUAAAAGAGUUAUCAUGUCGAAUUCCGCUUUUCUUUAGAAAAAUAGAGCAUGACAAAAUUGACUUUGGAUAAAGUGGUUUCAUGCCAUUUAUCUCAAGGGUAGAUAACUCUAUCUUGUUUCUCAACCUAAACACGCUAGCUAGAUGGUGCAAAAUAUAUUGAAAGCAGGGGCAAUGAAUAGACAUAUCCAGGCUCCUCCUAACAAAAGUAAACGUAUGAUCGAACACUUCUAUUUCCAGCUCUUGGGAGAUCAUCCUAAAGUAGCCUGGAAACAUUUAAUGUGCAAGAAUGAAUCCAGGCCUAAAUCUAUAUUUAUUUUAUGGAUAUAUUGGCAUGGUCAUUACAAUACUAUUGAUAGAUUGAGAAGGUAGGGAGCAAACCUAGAUCCUUCAUGUAUGAUGUGUGAAGCUGCAGAUGAAACUAAAGAUCACUUAUUCAUUGAGUGUUCUUUUGCGAAACAACCUCCGAGAAAGAUAUUGGAUUGGCUAAAAUGGCUAAGUUCUCUCAAUCUGGAUAGUCAUCUGAUGCAACAAUGGAUCAUCAAGGAGUAGGGAUGGCAAUGGUGCGGUGCGGUGCGGGUGCGGUGCGAAUUUUUACUAAACCCACAAGUUUUAGAAUCGCACCGCAUGACAUUUAAACCCGCAUAAACCUGCCUCACAUUCAUACCCGCGGAUAACCGCACCGCACCGCCCCAUAUUUUUAUUUUUUUUCUUUUUUUUUGAAAAAUUUGUAACUCUAUUGAAAAUCAUAAUAUUUUCAAAUUUACAACUAGAAAAUAAUAACUAAUUUCUAUUAUAGUACUUUUCACUAAAAAAUUGUCAAAAAGUAUAACGUGUACAAGUAAUGAUCAAAUAUAAUAUUUUUAUUCAAAUGAAUAGAGAUGUUAAAAAAGCUACUAUAAAAUUAUUUAUUUGUAGUGUUAUGCAUGUAGUUUUAAGUAUUAUAAAAUUUAAGUAAAGAACACAUAUAAUUUUAGGUAUAUUCACGAGAACAAUAUUAAUUUUUAGCUUUUUUGUUAUUUUAAACCCGUAUAUACCCACAACCCGCACCAUUUAAAAAAAAAAUACUUUAACCCGCACCGCACCACACCGCAUAGGUUAAAACCCGCACCGCACCGCACCUGCACCGCCCCAUUGCAUUCCUAUCAAGGAGAUCAAAUUAAGAUCAAUCAAAACCCAAAUCCUAAGUUAGCAUUCACAGAGAUUGAAGCAAUUUAGAGUGAGAGAAAUGCAGGAGUUUCUCUAUAACAAAAAAAGAGAUCACCUUAGCCAGUGACGGACCCAGGAUUUUAAGGUUGUGGAUGCUAACAUUUAACAUAAAGUUGUUAUGUAAGGUCACAUACAAUAUAAAUAUACUAUUAUUCAAAUACAAUUAUGAGAGAAGCUUGCGAAAAAGGUUAAAGAAGAAGUUAAAACUAAACAACAAAAAGAUAUAAAAUAAAUUUUAAAAAAAUAGAAAAGAGAAGAAAAAUAUGUAUUUCCAUAAAAAGGAAAAGUCAGCUAACUAAAGGAGAAAAGGAAAGAAAAAAGACGACAAUAAUAAUACUUAGUUGGGGUUUGAACUCGCAUGCUUCAAGCCAGGGAACGCAUCUUGAGUCUGACUCCCGACCAUUACACCCAUCCAAGCUUUUGAGUAGUGGGUGAUACUAAAUUAAUAUUAUUAUUUCUAUGAUGUUUUUAUAUAGUAACUUACAGUUCACAAUAGAGUUAAUGAGUGCUCGAGCACCCAAAAAAUAUACGUGAUCUGCCCCUGAUCUUAGCCAGGAGAUAGCAUGUGUUUGUAAUUUUAGAGCCUCUGUUAAGCUUCGUAAUUACUUAUUGAAAUGUACAUUUUGAUUUAUAGGUUGAGUUGCUUAGGAUGAGGAGACAACGGGAAGUUAGGUGGAACUGUGAUGUAGUUUUGCCUUGUACUAAUUUGUUACUUGGUGAUUAAUAAAUUUGAUUAGUUACUAAAAAAAAAUGGGGUCUAGAGAGGGUAAUGUCACGACCUGAUUCAUGAGUCGUGAUGACACCUACCAAAAC
rnacentral:lncRNA from 1 species